rnacentral:rRNA from 1 species
CGUAACACGUAUGCAACCUACCUAUCAUUGGGGGAUAGCCUUUGGAAACGGAGAUUAAUACCGCAUAAGACAGUAACAUGGCAUCAUGUAGCUGUUAAAGCUUUGGCGAUGAUAGAUGGGCAUGCGUCCAAUUAGUUAGUUGGUGAGGUAACGGCUCACCAAGACGAUGAUUGGUAGGGGAUCUGAGAGGAUAAUCCCCCACACUGGCACUGAGAUACGGGCCAGACUCCUACGGGAGGCAGCAGUAGGGAAUAUUGGGCAAUGGACGGAAGUCUGACCCAGCCAUGCCGCGUGCAGGAAGAAGGCGUUAUGCGUUGUAAACUGCUUUUUUAUAGGAAGAAGGAGACCUUGCGAGGUUUGGUGACGGUACUAUAAGAAUAAGCACCGGCUAACUCCGUGCCAGCAGCCGCGGUAAUACGGAGGGUGCGAGCGUUGUCCGGAUUUAUUGGGUUUAAAGGGUGCGUAGGCGGUUUAUUAAGUCAGUGGUGAAAGACGGUCGCUCAACGAUUGCAGUGCCAUUGAUACUGGUAGACUUGAGUUCGUAUGAGGUAGCUGGAAUGGAUAGUGUAGCGGUGAAAUGCAUAGAUAUUAUCCAGAACUCCAAUUGCGUAGGCAGGUUACUAAUACGAUACUGACGCUGAUGCACGAAAGUGUGGGGAUCAAACAGGAUUAGAUACCCUGGUAGUCCACACUGUAAACGAUGAUGACUAACUGUUUGCCCUUUGGGGUGAGUGGUACAGAGAAAUCGUUAAGUCAUCCACCUGGGGAGUA